CUGGUUCUUGCUUUCAAAUCUCUACAUAAUGCUGCUCCCACCCAUCUAUCCUCCCUACUACACAAGUAUGUCCCGUCUAGGCCCUUAUGCUCUGCUGAAGACUUAUAUCUAUCUUCUGUCCGUUCUCCCACCUCUGAAGACUUCUCGAGGGCUGCACUGUUCCUGUGGAACUCACUUCCCUCCUCCGUUAGAUGCCCAUCAAGUCUCCACUACUUCAAAAAAUCAUUAAAAAC